UGGGGAAUUUUGCGCAAUGGACGAAAGUCUGACGCAGCGACGCCGCGUGCGGGAGGAAGCCUUUCGGGGUGUAAACCGCUGUCAGGAGGGAAGAACAUCGACUGUGCAAAUAGCGCUAUCGACUGACGGUACCUCCAGAGGAAGCACCGGCUAACUCCGUGCCAGCAGCCGCGGUAAUACGGAGGGUGCAAGCGUUGUUCGGAAUUACUGGGCGUAAAGCGCGGGCAGGUGGCGCGUUAAGUCUUCUGUGAAAACCCGGGGCUCAACUCCGUGGACCGCAGAAGAUACUGGCGCGCUAGAGUAUGGUAGAGGCAGGCGGAAUUCCUGGUGUAGCGGUGGAAUGCGUAGAUAUCAGGAAGAACACCUGUGGCGAAGGCGGCCUGCUGGGCCAUUACUGACACUCAUCCGCGAAAGCGUGGGGAGCAAACAGGAUUAGAUACCCCCGUAGUCC
rnacentral:rRNA from 1 species